CGAUAAGUAAUGUGAAUUGCAGAUUUUCCGUGAAUCAUCGAAUCUUUGAACGCACCUUGCGCUCCUUGGUAUUCCGAGGAGCAUGCCUGUUUGAGUGUCAU
rnacentral:rRNA from 1 species